rnacentral:rRNA from 1 species
AACGAACGCUGGCGGCAUGCCUAACACAUGCAAGUCGAACGAGCCCUCCGGGUCUAGUGGCGCCCGGGUGCGUCACGCGUGGGAACCUUCCCUUAGGUUCGGCAUACCUCCCCGACAGGGGUGCUAAUACCGGAUCAUGUCUUCGGCCCAAAGAUUUAUCGACUUUGGUUGGGCCCUCGUUGGAUUCGCUAGUUGGUAGGGUAAAAGCCUACCAAGGCGACGAUCCAUAGAUGGUCAGUGAGGAUGAUCAGCCACACUGAGACUGAGACGCGGCCCAGACUCCUACGGGAGGCAGCAGUGGGGAAUAGUGGACAGUCGGCGAAGGCCUGAACCAGCAAUGCCGCGUGAGUGAUGAAGGCCUGAGGGUUGAAAAGCGCAUGUACCCAGGAUGAUAAUGACAGUACCGGGAGAAUAAGCGCCGGCUAACUCCGUG